UUUUAGUUUUCGACAGACACAGCAUCUUUGUUUCUUUGUUUGCAUGUGGUGCUGAGGAUCGAACCUGGGCCACACGCAUGCCAGGUGAGCACGCUACCACUUGAGCCACAUCCCCAGCCCCGGAAGAGAAUGUUUUAGAAAGUUACAACAUCAGCUUCAUUCCGAGGCUGAUGUCAGUAAGAAGCACAAGAAGGCUGCCUCUAGAAACCCUCUGGAUGAUGAUACAGGAUGAAGCUACUCCUUCUGGGCACCACAUGAACUCCAGAUGCAGAUCCCUUUAGGUCUAGGCUCUGAGCAGGUAUAACUGUAAUGAGGUUUGAUCUCUUGCUUGAGUUUAUUCUCCACCUGGACUUGAAUCUAUAAUGAAUCAUCAGCUGGAGUGUAUGAUUCCAUCUCAGGAGGAUGCCGGCAAGAAAGGUCAGGAGAAAU
rnacentral:lncRNA from 1 species